GGUGGCUGCGAUGAAAAGGGAAUCAGGUGAAAAUCCUGAACAGACGGUGCUGCUGUAAGCUUCAGCUCUCGUGUAGCAUCCCUUGGACCGGGCCACUGCCAAGCGAGGCGGGAAGGCUGGUCUACAUGAUGGCGCUUGCUUUACCCUUGAUUCAGAGGGCGGCCUCAGGGCCGGGAAGUUGCUAAGCGUCGUGCCAAUGCCAAUGCAUGGAGGGGUGAUUGAAGCAAGUCAGAAGACCUGCCAAGUCAGGA
rnacentral:ncRNA from 1 species